UGCAAGUCGAGGGGGUAUAGUUCUUCGGAGCUAGAGACCGGCGCACGGGUGCGUAACGCGUAUGCAAUCUACCUUUUACAGAGGGAUAGCCCAGAGAAAUUUGGAUUAAUACCUCAUAGUAUAUAGCCCUGGCAUCAGGAUUAUAUUAAAGUCACAACGGUAAAAGAUGAGCAUGCGUCCCAUUAGCUAGUUGGUAAGGUAACGGCUUACCAAGGCUACGAUGGGUAGGGGUCCUGAGAGGGAGAUCCCCCACACUGGUACUGAGACACGGACCAGACUCCUACGGGAGGCAGCAGUGAGGAAUAUUGGACAAUGGGCGCAAGCCUGAUCCAGCCAUGCCGCGUGCAGGAUGACGGUCCUAUGGAUUGUAAACUGCUUUUAUACGAGAAGAAACACUGCUUCGUGAAGCAGCUUGACGGUAUCGUAAGAAUAAGGAUCGGCUAACUCCGUGCCAGCAGCCGCGGUAAUACGGAGGAUCCAAGCGUUAUCCGGAAUCAUUGGGUUUAAAGGGUCCGUAGGCGGUUUAAUAAGUCAGUGGUGAAAGCCCAUCGCUCAACGGUGGAACGGCCAUUGAUACUGUUAAACUUGAAUUAUUAGGAAGUAACUAGAAUAUGUAGUGUAGCGGUGAAAUGCUUAGAGAUUACAUGGAAUACCAAUUGCGAAGGCAGGUUACUACUAAUGGAUUGACGCUGAUGGACGAAAGCGUGGGUAGCGAACAGGAUUAGAUACCCUGGUAGUCCACGCCGUAAACGAUGGAUACUAGCUGUUGGAAGCAAUUUCAGUGGCUAAGCGAAAGUGAUAAGUAUCCCACCUGGGGAGUACGUUCGCAAGAAUGAAACUCAAAGGAAUUGACGGGGGCCCGCACAAGCGGUGGAGCAUGUGGUUUAAUUCGAUGAUACGCGAGGAACCUUACCAAGGCUUAAAUGUAGAUUGACCGGUUUGGAAACAGAUCUUUCGCAAGACAAUUUACAAGGUGCUGCAUGGUUGUC
rnacentral:rRNA from 1 species